rnacentral:lncRNA from 1 species
CAUUUAUAAAAUGUAAAAUAUUAUACAUUUUUGCACAGCUAGUCGAAAUAUAAAAGGUUUGUUAAGGCAACAUUUUCAGGGAGAAAAUAAAACCAAGAACAUUUAGAUCUCCUCCAUGGAAAAAUGUUUAAACCUGUUCUAUUGUGUCUAGAUAGUGACCGUUUCUAGGAUGAGUACAGAAUGUUAACUCCGCCGUGUUCCGCUAAGUACAACAAAGCGUGUUCAGGUUUGGAGAGACACUUAACUUAGGAUUUUAUGAUUGUCGUCACUUUGUAUCUCAAGAUGAAGAACACCUUAAGCUUGACAGCUCUCCAGAACCUACAGUUGAGUUGGAGAAGUCAAGUGGACCCAGACAAGCAGGAGCCACCACUAAGUUCUUGGUACCUUCUGCACAUGCGCCGCUGUUCCAGGAAGGGUGCUCCCAGCGGCCGGCCUUCCAGAGAAGGCAGAGGGUUCACUCUGGCAGCAACUUGGAAGAGCUUCUGCUUGAUCCGGCCUCAGAAGCCACUGAGAAGCUUCUGCUUUCGGGACUGGGCAAGAGGGCGGUGUAGACAUACGCUUUGCUACCGGUGCUGCUGGCGGCGGGAUCGCUCAGGGUGUCUGUUCCCAGCACAGCCUGUGCUGUGCCAUAGGAGGAUGGGAAGCCUCCAGCUUUGGUAAUGACAUCCUGCUGAGACAGGGAGUCUCCCGAUGCCAACAGAAAACGCCGCGAGAAGCUGCCAGGGUGGGGAUUUUCAGAAGGCAUCAAAGCUCGUCCUUCUCCAGCAUCUCAUUUUACUGUGACUCGAUUUUAAAGGGUCAAGUUUACAAUGCAUAUUUUCCUCUGUCACAAUCCAAACCUUUUCCUCUUCAGUUGUGAGCUCUAGCAAAAGGAAGGCGUCCACUGGGCCGGCCUCGUGGCCGAGUGGGUAAAGUUCCACACUCUCCAGUUCGGUGGCCCAGGUUCUCAGGCCUGGAUCCCGGGUGCAGACCUACUCCACUCAUCAGCUAUGCUGUGGAGGCAUCCCACAUACAAAAAAAAUGGAAGAAGAUUGGCACCAAUGUUAUCUCAGGGGUAAUCUUCCUCAAGUGGAAAAAAAAAAAACAAAGAGGAAAAUUGGCAAGGGUGUUAGCUCACGGAAAAUCUUCCUCACCAAAAAAAAAAAAAAAAAAAAAAAAAGGGAGUCCUGUCCCAUUACAGACC